UUGAGGGAGAAUUACGAUAAGAAACAAAAGUUAAAAAAGGCAUUACAAGCGGACUAAUCACACGUUUGGAUACACUUUGGAUUUUUCACUCAUAAGGAAGGAACUACACUGACAAGGACUCUGCUUUAUGCAAGAACUGUCUAACAAAAAUAAGGCAAGGAUGGGAAGAAAAGCAGCAUCUGACCCCACAAGACAGACCGCUUUAAUGAAUAAGAACGAGGAAUCUAGCAGAAGCAUACAGCCAAUAAAAUGAGUGUUCCUUCUCACGUGGCUUCACUUUGAAUUUCUCUCUGCAUGUAAACAAGCUCAACCAAGUGGAAAAUGGAAAAUUCAAACUAGAGCAAAUGAACUGGAGACAUCACAGUCAGCAG